UACGAAGGGGGCUAGCGUUGCUCGGAAUCACUGGGCGUAAAGCGCACGUAGGCGGAUCUUUAAGUCAGAGGUGAAAUCCCAAGGCUCAACCUUGGAACUGCCUUUGAUACUGGGGAUCUCGAGUCCGGAAGAGGUUGGUGGAACUGCGAGUGUAGAGGUGAAAUUCGUAGAUAUUCGCAAGAACACCAGUGGCGAAGGCGGCCAACUGGUCCGGUACUGACGCUGAGGUGCGAAAGCGUGGGGAGCAAACAGGG
rnacentral:rRNA from 1 species